rnacentral:misc_RNA from 1 species
ACGAGUUAGGGUCUUUUAGGCCCGACCUCCAACCCUGUGUCUAAUUACCCUGUUGCUUUGGCGGGCCCGUCUUCGGACCGUCGGCGGUCAGCAAUGACUUCUGGCAAGCGCCCGCCAGAGACCAUUUUAAAAUCUUGUUGAAACGUGUCGUUCUCAGUUAAAAAUUAAAUUGUCA